AUUGAACGCUGGCGGCAGGCCUAACACAUGCAAGUCGAGCGGGGUUUUCGGACCUAGCGGCGGACGGGUGAGUAAUGCGUAGGAAGCUACCCGAUAGAGGGGGAUACCAGUUGGAAACGACUGUUAAUACCGCAUAAUGUCUACGGACCAAAGUGUGGGACCUUCGGGCCACAUGCUAUCGGAUGCGCCUACGUGGGAUUAGCUAGUUGGUGAGGUAAUGGCUCACCAAGGCGACGAUCUCUAGCUGGUUUGAGAGGAUGAUCAACCACACUGGAACUGGGACACGGUCCAGACUCCUACGGGAGGCAGCAGUGGGGAAUAUUGGACAAUGGGCGCAAGCCUGAUCCAGCCAUGCCGCGUGUGUGAAGAAGGCCUUCGGGUUGUAAAGCACUUUCAGCGAGGAGGAAGGGGUUGUAGUUAAUAGCUGCAACCUUUGACGUUACUCGCAGAAGAAGCACCGGCUAACUCUGUGCCAGCAGCCGCCGUAACAC
rnacentral:rRNA from 1 species